AGCCAUGCCGCGUGUGUGAAGUAAGGCCUUCGGGUUGUAAAGUCACUUUCAGUAGGGAGGAAGGUAGUGUAGUUAACACCUGCAUUAUUUGACGUUACCUACAGAAGAAGCACCGGCUAACUCCGUGCCAGCAGCCGCGGUAAUACGGAGGGUGCGAGCGUUAAUCGGAAUUACUGGGCGUAAAGCGCAUGCAGGCGGCCUGUUAAGUCAGAUGUGAAAGCCCGGGGCUUAACCUCGGAAUUGCAUUUGAAACUGGCAGGCUAGAGUCUUGUAGAGGGGGUAGAAUUUCAGGUGUAGCGGUGAAAUGCGUAGAGAUCUGAAGGAAUACCAGUGGCGAAGGCGGCCCCCUGGACAAAGACUGACGCUCAGAUGCGAAAGCGUGGGGAGCAAACAGGAUUAGAUACCCUGGUAG
rnacentral:rRNA from 1 species